rfam:Triticum aestivum genome assembly, contig: Triticum_aestivum_CS42_TGACv1_scaffold_576964_7BL
AAGCAUAUGGUGUUACAAGGAGAUGCUACUAAGAUUUUUCGUCGUUGAAGUAUCUUAAAAUGAGCUUUUAAAAACUGAUGCUUG